UACGUAGGGGGCAAGCGUUUGUCCGGAAUUAUUGGGCGUAAAGAGCUCGUAGGCGGUCUGUUGCGUCCGCUGUGAAAACUCGGGGCUUAACCCCGAGCCUGCAGUGGAUACGGGCAGACUAGAGGUAGGUAGGGGAGAAUGGAAUUCCCGGCGUAGCGGUGAAAUGCGCAGAUAUCGGGAGGAAUACCGGUGGCGAAGGCGGCAUCCUGGACCGGCAUUGACGCUGAUGAGCGAAAAGCUAGGGGAGCAAACGGGG
rnacentral:rRNA from 1 species